CACGUAGGGUGCGAGCGUUGUCCGGAAUUAUUGGGCGUAAAGAGCUCGUAGGCGGUGUGUCGCGUCGGCCGUGAAAACCUGCAGCUUAACUGUGGGCUUGCGGUCGAUACGGGCAUCACUGGAGUUCGGCAGGGGAGACUGGAAUUCCUGGUGUAGCGGUGAAAUGCGCAGAUAUCAGGAGGAACACCAAUGGCGAAGGCAGCUCACUGGGACGGUAUUGACGCUGAGACGCGAAAGCGUGGGGAGCAAACAGG
rnacentral:rRNA from 1 species